rnacentral:rRNA from 1 species
UACGAAGGGGGCUAGCGUUGCUCGGAAUCACUGGGCGUAAAGCGCACGUAGGCGGACUUUUAAGUCGGUGGUGAAAUCCUGGAGCUCAACUCCAGAACUGCCUUCGAUACUGAGAGUCUCAGAGUCCGGGAGAGGUGAGUGGAACUCCGAGUGUAGAGGUGAAAUUCGUAGAUAUUCGGAAGAACACCAGUGGCGAAGGCGGCUCACUGGCCCGGUACUGACGCUGAGGUGCGAAAGCGUGGGGAGCAAACGGG